rnacentral:rRNA from 1 species
GGCGUGCCUAAUACAUGCAAGUCGAGCGGAAGAAGGGAGCUUGUCCCGGAUGUUAGCGGCGGACGGGUGAGUAACACGUGGGUAACCUGCCUGUAAGACUGGGAUAACUCCGGGAAACCGGAGCUAAUACCGGAUAGUUCCUUGAACCGCAUGGUUCAAGGAUGAAAGACGGUUUCGGCUGUCACUUACAGAUGGACCCGCGGCGCAUUAGCUAGUUGGUGAGGUAACGGCUCACCAAGGCGACGAUGCGUAGCCGACCUGAGAGGGUGAUCGGCCACACUGGGACUGAGACACGGCCCAGACUCCUACGGGAGGCAGCAGUAGGGAAUCUUCCGCAAUGGACGAAAGUCUGACGGAGCAACGCCGCGUGAGUGAUGAAGGUUUUCGGAUCGUAAAGCUCUGUUGUUAGGGAAGAACAAGUGCAAGAGUAACUGCUUGCACCUUGACGGUACCUAACCAGAAAGCCACGGCUAACUACGUGCCAGCAG